rnacentral:rRNA from 1 species
UCCUACGGGAGGCAGCAGCAGGGAAUCUUCCGCAAUGGACGAAAGUCUGACGGAGCAACGCCGCGUGAGUGAUGAAGGUUUUCGGAUCGUAAAGCUCUGUUGUUAGGGAAGAACAAGUGCGAGAGUAACUGCUCGCACCUUGACGGUACCUAACCAGAAAGCCACGGCUAACUACGUGCCAGCAGCCGCGGUAAUACGUAGGUGGCAAGCGUUGUCCGGAAUUAUUGGGCGUAAAGGGCUCGCAGGCGGUUUCUUAAGUCUGAUGUGAAAGCCCCCGGCUCAACCGGGGAGGGUCAUUGGAAACUGGGAAACUUGAGUGCAGAAGAGGAGAGUGGAAUUCCACGUGUAGCGGUGAAAUGCGUAGAGAUGUGGAGGAACACCAGUGGCGAAGGCGACUCUCUGGUCUGUAACUGACGCUGAGGAGCGAAAGCGUGGGGAGCGAACAGGAUUAGAUACCCUGGUAGUCCACGCCGUAAACGAUGAGUGCUAAGUGUUAGGGGGUUUCCGCCCCUUAGUGCUGCAGCUAACGCAUUAAGCACUCCGCCUGGGGAGUACGGUCGCAAGACUGAAACUCAAAUGAAUUGACGGA